rnacentral:tRNA from 1 species
GGAGAGAUGUCCGAGCGGUCGAAGGAGCACGCCUGGAAAGCGUGUAUACGUUUUCAACGUAUCGAGGGUUCGAAUCCCUCUCUCUCCG